UUAGCGUGUAGUGAAUUUUAGGGCUCAACCCUGAACUGUUACACGAACUGCUUGGCUAGAGUAUAUGAGGGGUACCUGGAAUUCCCGGUGUAGGAGUGGAAUCCGUAGAUAUCGGGAGGAACACCAAUGGCGUAGGCAGGGUACUGGCAUAUUACUGACGCUAAGGCACGAAAGCGUGGGGAGCGAACGGGAUUAGAUACCCCGGUAGUCCACGCCGUAAACGAUGGAUGCUA
rnacentral:rRNA from 1 species